AUUCUGUUAAUUUAAUAAAAAUUUUGAUUUGUGGUAUCAAGUUUAUACUUUUUGUAUACAGAAUA
rnacentral:tRNA from 1 species